AAAGGAAUUGACGGGGACCCGCACAAGCGGUGGAGCAUGUGGUUUAAUUCGAAGCAACGCGAAGAACCUUACCAAGUCUUGACAUCUAACUGACCGGCGCGUAACGGCGCCUUUCCUUCGGGACAGUUAAGACAGGUGGUGCAUGGUUGUCGUCAGCUCGUGUCGUGAGAUGUUGGGUUAAGUCCCGCAACGAGCGCAACCCUUAUCCUUAGUAGCCAGCGGCAAGGCCGGGCACUCUAGGGAGACUGCCAGGGAGAACCUGGAGGAAGGUGGGGAUGACGUCAAAUCAUCAUGCCCCUUAUGAUUUGGGCUACACACGUGCUACAAUGGCGUAAACAAAGGGAAGCGAAGGGGUGACCUUGAGCGAAUCUCAAAAAUAACGUCUCAGUUCGGAUUGUAGUCUGCAACUCGACUACAUGAAGCUGGAAUCGCUAGUAAUCGCGAAUCAGCAUGUCGCGGUGAAUACGUUCCCGGGUCUUGCACACACCGCCCGU
rnacentral:rRNA from 1 species